rnacentral:rRNA from 1 species
UACGGGGGGAGCAAGCGUUGUUCGGAUUUACUGGGCGUAAAGGGCGCGUAGGCGGCCACGACAAGUCAGUUGUGAAAUCUCUGGGCUUAACUCAGAACGGUCAACUGAUACUGUCGGGCUAGAGUGCAGAAGGGGCAACUGGAAUUCUCGGUGUAGCGGUGAAAUGCGUAGAUAUCGAGAGGAACACCUGCGGCGAAGGCGGCAUCCUGGACCGGUAUUGACGCUGAGGCGCGAAAGCCAGGGGAGCAAACGGG